rnacentral:RNase_P_RNA from 1 species
ACAACAGCCUGUUCUAUCGCUACUCCGCUUGUUCGGAAUAGAGGAAAGUCGGGGCAACGCAGAGCACCAUACUUCCUAACGGGAAGGCAUCGACGAAGGUCGGUGACAGACAGGGCCGCAGAAAAUAACCGCCUAAGUCCGACUUCGGUCGGGACGGUAAGGGUGAAAAUGUGAGGUAAGAGCUCACGCUGUAUCCUGGCGACAGGGUACAGGGGUAAACCUUAUGGGUUGAAAGACCAAAUAUACCGGAGCUUCUUUGUUCUUCGGAACUUAGAUCGGGGCUGCUCGUCCGAUCCGGGGGGUAGGUCGUUUGAGCCUGGGAGUGAUCCCUGGCCGGGAUAAAUGAUAGAAAGCUGCUUCGGCAGUGCACAGAACCCCGCUUACAGGGCUGUUGUUAAC